rnacentral:rRNA from 1 species
UGGGGAAUAUUGCACAAUGGGCGCAAGCCUGAUGCAGCCAUGCCGCGUGUGUGAAGAAGGCCUUCGGGUUGUAAAGCACUUUCAGCGAGGAGGAAGGUGGUGAGCUUAAUACGCUCAUCAAUUGACGUUACUCGCAGAAGAAGCACCGGCUAACUCCGUGCCAGCAGCCGCGGUAAUACGGAGGGUGCAAGCGUUAAUCGGAAUUACUGGGCAUAAAGCGCACGCAGGCGGUUUGUUAAGUCAGAUGUGAAAUCCCCGGGCUCAACCUGGGAACUGCAUUUGAAACUGGCAAGCUAGAGUCUCGUAGAGGGGGGUAGAAUUCCAGGUGUAGCGGUGAAAUGCGUAGAGAUCUGGAGGAAUACCGGUGGCGAAGGCGGCCCCCUGGACGAAGACUGACGCUCAGGUGCGAAAGCGUGGGGCAGCAAACAGGAUUAGAUACCCUGGUAGUCCACGCUGUAAACGAUGUCGAUUUUGGAGGUUGUGCCCCUUGAGGCGUGGCUUCCGGAGCUAACGCGUUAAAUCGACCGCCUGGGGAGUACGGCCGCAAGGUUAAAACUCAAAUGAAUUG